rnacentral:rRNA from 1 species
GAUGAACGCUGGCGGCGUGCCUAAUACAUGCAAGUCGAGCGAACGGACAAGAAGCUUGCUUCUCUGAUGUUAGCGGCGGACGGGUGAGUAACACGUGGAUAACCUACCUAUAAGACUGGGAUAACUUCGGGAAACCGUAGCUAAUACCGGAUAAUAUUUUGAACCGCAUGGUUCAAAAGUGAAAGACGGUCUUGCUGUCACUUAUAGAUGGAUCCGCGCUGCAUUAGCUAGUUGGUAAGGUAACGGCUUACCAAGGCAACGAUGCAUAGCCGACCUGAGAGGGGGAGCGGCCAAAGGGAAACGAAGAAAGGGUCCAAAACCCUAGGGGAGGCAGAAGAAGGAAAUCUUCGGAAAGGGGGAAAAGCCGGAGGAAGAAACGCGACGGGGGGAAUAAAGGUUUGCGAAUGGAAAAACUUUUUUAUAAGGAAAAAAAAAAUGGGUAAGAAACUGGGCACAUCUGGAGGGAACCAAAUCAAAAAACCAGGGUAAACUAGGG